CUGCUCCAGCCUGCAAACCUGGAUCCUGUUUCACUCAGGUGGCUGACCACUCUGAUCUUCUCAGACAACGCGCUCAAUCUGAGCUACACAAGCAGCAAAGCCUCAUCUCAUCAUCACCACGUGGAAGGCCACCAUGUGGCUGGGACUAUGUUUUUCCUGGUUUAUACUUCUAUGUAUACCUUUGGAUUACAAAUAUUGAGACUCUAACCAAAAGGAUUGUAAAGCAUUGGAAUGGGCUGACCAAAGAGGUGAUUGAGUCACCAUCCUGGGAGGUAUUUAAAAGGGUGAAGAAAUCUGAGCUUCAGAGAAAGGUUCCUGUGUAGUGCUCAUUUGUUUACAGUUGGAAGCAACAGGCUUUUCUCACGGGCCCUUCAAAAUCCUCUGCAAAAGAAUCCAAUGCUUUUCCCUGUAUCUUCUCCCUCAUGUUCUCUUAACAAGGGUGUUUUUGCAGUACUGGCUUGAGCAUGGAAGAAGAAUGCUGGACUGAACAGUGGAUCAGUGGAUAGCAGCCUACAGGCUGGGGUAGUGAGGAGCUGGAUAAGGAAGAGAAGUCUGAGGUAAGUUAUGUCUGAACCUGAGGACUCAAGCUGUUUUUACAGACCUACAAGUCUCCUGCACUGAUCAAGAUAGCUGAGAAACCUGAAGCCCUGGAGUAGCAUUAGCUUCUGGCUGCAGAAUGUACUCAUUGUGCUCUUGCUUUUUCUGAUGGGGCUGCUGGUACAGCAGGACCUUUUGUUGGGAUGUUGCUUAGUUCUUUUGGGGAAUCCUUCUGCUGGUGGAAAUGAUGUCCCUCCCCUCCUCCAGGAGCAAUCUACAGUCCAUUAUAUUUUGCAUUUAUCCAAAUUGAUGUAUAAGUGUGUCAUGGUAGGCCUGAUAGGCCCAAAAUAGGCUUAUCCAUGCCCUGGCCUGCCCAGACAUGUUUUUCUGCUCUCCCUCCUUCUGUUAUGGGGAAAAGCAACUGCGGGAAAGAGGACAAAGAACCUGUAGCUAUUGAGUCUAAGGACUAUGGCCUGCCCAGACUUGUUUACAUCCUCUGGUAAACAAGGUACACGUGCUUAGCUUGUGCUAAGCAUGC